CAGGCACAUUCGGCAGAAGGAAUUUUGAAUGGCUUGCAUCAAUCUCAUACAUGGCAACCACGGGCUUAAAAUUAUUUAUGAAAAAGAAUGUAAGGAAGGAAACGUGUUAUUUUGUUAUCCUGGAGGUACCUUGCAUUAUAAACGAGAGAGAAACGGGUGUAAAAUUGUCAUAGCUGAAGCUGUCGAUGUCGGUCGGCGUGAUGGAUGAGCUAAUGUG